rnacentral:lncRNA from 1 species
GCAGCGCCUCGGAUCAGCAACAAGGAGGGUCCUGUCAUACCUGACCAGAAUGUCCUUAAUCUCCUUCUUGCUCUGCUCAUCCACAUAUUUCUGGUAAAAAGCGACGAGAGCUUUGGCGAUGCUCUGGCGGAUGGCGUAGAUCUGGGAGAUGUGACCGCCUCCCUUGACGCGGAUGCGCAUGUCGACACCGGCGAAGCGCUGUCGUCCGAGGAGUAGGAUGGGUUCGUAGGCCUUGAAGCGGAGGAUCUCGGGCUCGACGAGCUCGAUUGGGCAGCCGUUGAUCUUGAUGAGGCCACGGCCGCGCUUGC